rnacentral:rRNA from 1 species
UAGGGAAUCUUCGGCAAUGGACGAAGGCUGACCGAGCAACGCCGCGGGGGUGAAGAAGGGUUUCGGAACGUAAAACUCCGUUGGUAGAGAAGAAAAAAGACGUUAGUAACUGAACGUCCCCCGACGGUAACUAACCAGAAAGCCACGGCUAACUACGUGCCAGCAGCCGCGGUAAUACGUAGGUGGGAAGCGUUGUACGGAUUUAUUGGGCGUAAAGCGAGCGCAGGCGGUUUCUUAAGUCUGAUGUGAAAGCCCCCGGCUCAACCGGGGAGGGUCAUUGGAAACUGGGAGACUUGAGUGCAGAAGAGGAGAGUGGAAUUCCAUGUGUAGCGGUGAAAUGCGUAGAUAUAUGGAGGAACACCAGUGGCGAAGGCGGCUCUCUGGUCUGUAACUGACGCUGAGGCUCGAAAGCGUGGGGAGCAAACAGG